rnacentral:lncRNA from 1 species
UUUUUAAAAGUAGCAAUAAGUCAAAAAUUUAAUGAAUCUAAACAAGUUCGAUUAACAUGCAACCACAUUUAACAUGACGACUUAUCUUAGAACGUACAAAAGAUUAUGAAAUCAUGUUUAUUUCUUCUUUGGUACAACCAGACAUGUUAUCUCAAACUUUUAAAAUAAAUAAUGUCAGCCACAAAACAUAUGCACGUUGGGGUAUCACUUCUUUGCUUUCACGUGGAUCUUACAAUGCGAGUGCGUUUGGAGCGCAGUAUAUUCACAAAUUCAGAAUAAAGAUGAGAACCACCAUCUAUAGAGACCACUUCUGUGACACGGCCCUGAUGAAGAUUUUAAGCACCAAUUUUGUUGAAUGUAGUGGGUUUUGUUCCUUAGCAGUACUUGACACAACUGAUUGUUCAAAUCUCAGGUCAAUAUCUUAAUUGAAAUAAAAACAAUGACAGCAAGUGAGGUAAACUGAACAGUUUGCUGCUGCUGCUGCUGUUGUUGGCACAGUGGCCCACAAUACAUCAUAUAUGCACUCAUAGCACACUAAAAUCCAAAAGCCCAGGAGGAGGAUUUAUAAAUUUGCCUAAAGAGAAAUUGAAUUUGACUUUUGUCUGAUGACGCUCCUGAAGGAACAAGACUUAACGGAAUAGCACCAGUUCUUCUAAAUCCGAUUGUCAUAUAGCACGUGUGUAGUGAUGUCUGAGGUGAAACCUUUUAGUCGUUGCCCCACUGUUGGAUAUAUUGUUUCUCCCACAUGCUCCUCUACCAGGCACGGUGUGUAUAGGGGAGUCUAGAACACGAAGGCUUUCACUUGUCAGGCCCUUUGCUAAAUGCUCUUUGACCUGCCUGAAGGGUGCAAGAGGCUGGCUCACAGAAACCAGGAGGGCCUGGAGGACCUGGGGGCCCAGGCACACCAGGAAUUCCUGCCACUCCUGGGGGACCUUGCUCUCCAUCUCGGCCAUUUUUCCCAUAGCUGGCAGGGCCUGGAUCACCUGAAACAGACAAAAAGCCCACACAUGUGAACAAACUGUUGAUUAGCAGAAGACACUAGACCCUCGGAGCCUAGCAGCCUGCAAACAAAUGCCUUUGGAGGGGACCCAUGACGCUGAGAUGAGGAAACCCCAUUAGUGGGUGUGGCUUUCAUAGAAAUCAAAGGCAGAAAGUCAUUUUAGUGUGUCUCCCAUAUCUGCAUCAUGGCGCCCUCUAGACGUCUAUGUCUACUGAAUACUGAAACGUGACUGGCCCAGUUGAGGGGAAUUGCAGGUAUAAAAUGAAGCUGUUGGAAGGUUUAUCGAGGAAAAUGUUUAAGGUGUUUUAUUAAUGUAUUUUAGGCUUAUUACCUGAUACGAUAGUAUUUUGAACCUAGUGAGUGAAAUAAACUGCACAGGCAUCCCUCAGUUUACAGUGUGGUUAGGUUGAGAACAUAGAUUAAGUCAAAAGUGCACCCUGGUGCCAAACAGCAGGACUUAGUGACCGGCUCACCACAGAGUACUCAGGUCUUUCUACUCGGGAGUGCCCCGCCAGCUCUGUGCUUCCUGGCAUUGGGGGAGCAUCAUAUCACGUGUUGCUAACUCCAUAAAAAGAUCAAAAUUCAGAAUUUUUAAGUUGAGUUUCUACCAAAUUUGUCUCGUUUCGUGUCAUUGUAAAGUGGAAACGUCUGAGGUUAACUGUAUUAAGCCAGUGACUAGCUGUGUUAUUAAAGUUAAUUUCGGCUGGCUCUGCACCUUGCGUGGU